rnacentral:lncRNA from 10 species
CCUCCUCCUCGUCCUCCCUUUCACGGUCGCCAGGGAGAGGCUGGUGUCCCCAUAGCGAGGGCUGGAUUUAAGUUGAGACAAAUUAUCCUUCUCCCUUACGCAGUGCACAUGCCCAGAGCCCCUUUCUAGCCUCAGGGCUCCUGGUGCCCUGUGGGGCAGGGGAAUGUCUCCGGGCAGUGUGGUUUGGGGUUGGGAGUUGGAAGGACUGUGGUUCCUGGAUGACUGUGGAGAGAUGUGAAUUUGGGAGUCUGGUUGUGAGGCCAUCUGAGGCUGCCCAGUGUGUGGCUGUUGUGCUUUGUGUCCCUGUGUGUAUGUCCUUGUGUGUAUGUGUGUCCCCUUGUGUGUCCCCGUGUAUGUGUGUGUCCCUGUGUGUGUCCCCAUAUGUGUCUGUGUGUGUAUGUGUGUGUGUCCCCGUGUGGGUAUGCGUGCGUGUAUGUGUGUGUCUCCGUGUGUGUGUGUAUGCACACAAAAGCAGCUGAGCAUUCCUCAGGCCUGGCCUGGAAUUUCAGAUCCACUCUGGAUGAAAGUUGCUGCUGGCUGCCUCUUCUGUUCCCCUAACUAUGGGCACUGCCUUUUCCUUAUGCCAAGCUGCCCGCAGCUGAGAGCAAUGCAGGGUCUCCCUCUCUGCACAGCAAAUUCUGGCUGGGGACUCCACUCUCCUGCUCCACAGGCCACCUGGACGCACUGCCCAGGGCCACGGGAGGGACACCUGCAGCGGAUGGACAUCAAAAACUAAGGUCAAUGGCCGGGUGCAGUGGCUCAUGCCUGUAAUCCCAGCACUUAGGGAGGCUGAGGCAGGAGGAUCACCUGAGGUCAGGAGUUCAAGACCAGCCUGGCCAACACGGUGAAACCCGUCUCUACUAACAAUGCAAAAAUUAGCCAGGUGUGGUGGUGGACACCUGUAAUCCCAGCUACUCAGGAGGCUGAGGCAGGAGAAUCACUUGAACCUGAGAGGUGGAGGUUGCAGUGAGCCGAGACUGAGCCACUACACUCCAGCCUGGGUGAGAGGGAGAGACUGUCUCAAAAAAAAAAAAAAAAGAAACUAAGGUCAAUCGCCAAUGAACAAUGAGACAGCGUGGGGGUGAGACGGGAGGACACACCGGGAGGGGCGCAAGAAAUGCCAGAGGCAGGAGACAGAUGGGUCCAAGGGCCAGAGAGCCUGCUCCAGUGGCUCCUCGGAGUGAGAUGGGUCAGAGAGGGAGGCAGGAGACCAGAAAAUACCAAGGAAGAAAAAUCUAAGCCUUUUGGCCAGACAAGUCACAUGGCCCUGAGGCGGGUGCUGGAAAACGUGGAGGAGGGGUGGCUUUGGUCGCUGGACACACAUCUCUGCCACGGUGACUGACGGAGGCUGUGAAAGGACAAUCUGAGUGAAGAAGUGAAUGAGGUGCUGAUUCCACAGGGACUUCCUGAGAAGGGCGGAGUGGCUCCCAGCGGACGGGAAUUAGAGACCGCCUGAGAACAGGAAACCUACCUCCUCUAUUUCUGGGUUCCCAGUGUCCUGCCCAGAGCCCAUCAUGUGGCAGAAGCUCAGGACACAAAUGUCAGGGGCAGAAGACUAAGUCCUUGCUCUGGGCAGGGGUCAGGACGUGUGCAGCUCCUUGGCCCCAGAAUUGUUUCCCUCCUGCCUCACUCCCUGGUGUAGAAUUUGGCCCAGACGCUCCCUGCCAUGUGACUUGGCAGGAGCUCCCUCUAGAGGAGGGGUAGUGAUAUAGCUGUAAAUCUCACGUUGAGGCUGGGCGCGUUGGCUCAAGCCUGUAAUCCCAGCACUUUGGGAGGCUGAGGCAGGCGGAUCACCUGAAGCCAGGAGUUCGAGACCAGCCUGCCCAACAUGGUGAAACCCUGUCUGUACUAAAAAUAUUAAAAAAAUUAGCUGGGCAUGGUGGUGCAUGCCUGUAAUCCCAGCUACUUGGGAGGCUGAGGCAGGAGAAUCGCUUGAACCCAGGAAGCAGAGGUUGCAGUGAGCUGAGAUCGUGCCACUGCACUCCAGCCUGGGCAACAGAGCGAGACUCCAUUAAAAAAAAAAAAAAACCUCAUGUUGAAAUGUGAUCCCCAAUGCUGGCGGUGGGGCCUGGUGGGAGGUGUUUGGAUCAUGGGGUGGAUUUCUCAUGAAUGGUUUAGCACCAUCCUCUUGGUGCCGUUCUUGAGACAGUGAGUGAACUCUCUCGAGAUCUUGUUUAAAAGAGUGUGGCACCUCCCUCCAUGUCUCUUGCUCCCACUCUUGCCAUGUGAGAUGCCUGCUCCCCCUUCACUUCAGUCACAAUUGUAAACUUCCUGAGGCCUUCACCAGAAGCUAAUGCUGGCACUAUGCUUCUUGUACAGCUUAGAGAACCAUGAGCCAAUUAAACUUCUUUUCUUUAUAAAU